AUUGAACGCUGGCGGCAUGCCUUACACAUGCAAGUCGAACGGUAACAGGUCUUCGGAUGCUGACGAGUGGCGAACGGGUGAGUAAUACAUCGGAACGUGCCCGAGAGUGGGGGAUAACGAGGCGAAAGCUUUGCUAAUACCGCAUACGAUCUCAGGAUGAAAGCAGGGGACCGCAAGGCCUUGCGCUCACGGAGCGGCCGAUGGCAGAUUAGGUAGUUGGUGGGAUAAAAGCUUACCAAGCCGACGAUCUGUAGCUGGUCUGAGAGGACGACCAGCAACACUGGGACUGAGACACGGCCCAGACUCCUACGGGAGGCAGCAGUGGGGAAUUUUGGACAAUGGGCGCAAGCCUGAUCCAGCCAUGCCGCGUGCAGGAUGAAGGCCUUCGGGUCGUAAACUGCUUUUGUACGGAACGAAAAGACUCCUUCUAAUAAAGGGGGUCCAUGACGGUACCGUAAGAAUAAGCACCGGCUAACUACGUGCCAGCCGCCGCCGUAAGAC
rnacentral:rRNA from 1 species